AUUCGUUGUAACAGGUGAAGCCCAUGCUAUCCAAUAGUUACUCCCUAUUUGUAACACAUCGAAACUAAAUUGAGCUAAGAUAAUCAAUGGAACCAAUGCCCCGCCCCACACCAUUGUCAGGAUUCCCAUCAGACAUUCCUGCACCAAAGUUAUACAUACUAUGAAACGCAUAAUGAUCCGAAACUAUGGUACUGCCUAGUCAACAAAUGCUAUCCAUGUUUAGAUCAUUAUUCUGGAUAGGAAGAAAAUCUGACCUCAAAAAGUUGACUUCCUGUAUGAGCAUCAACGGCACUGAAUGGGUCAUCUAGAAUAUAUAUGUCGGCAUCUUGGUCUCCAGCCUGGAAGAGCUCUAAAUCCUUCGACAGUGCACAUGCUCCUAUUGUUCUCUCAUAUUUGACUUGAUCAUAUGGAUUCCCGAAGAGAAUGUUGUCUCUUACAUUUCCAGUUAAUAUCCAUGGGGACUGAG